rnacentral:rRNA from 1 species
AGCGAACGCUGGCGGCAGGCCUAACACAUGCAAGUCGAACGAAGUCUUCGGACUUAGUGGCGGACGGGUGAGUAACACGUGGGAACGUGCCUUUAGGUUCGGAAUAACUCAGGGAAACUUGUGCUAAUACCGAAUGUGCCCCUCGGGGGAAAGAUUUAUCGCCUUUAGAGCGGCCCGCGUCUGAUUAGCUAGUUGGUGAGGUAAAGGCUCACCAAGGCGACGAUCAGUAGCUGGUCUGAGAGGAUGAUCAGCCACAUUGGGACUGAGACACGGCCCAAACUCCUACGGGAGGCAGCAGUGGGGAAUCUUGCGCAAUGGGCGAAAGCCUGACGCAGCCAUGCCGCGUGAAUGAUGAAGGUCUUAGGAUUGUAAAAUUCUUUCACCGGGGACGAUAAUGACGGUACCCGGAGAAGAAGCCCCGGCUAACUUCGUGCCAGCAGCCGCCGUAAUAC